CCUAGCCUAGGCUCAGCAACCAGGACAAACCCAAAGAUCAACCAGGAGCUCCUUCUCAAAGGUGGAGCCCGGCUCUUUGUCACAGGCAGCACCAGGACACAGCUGGCUUUAGCUGCACCCAGCUCGUGUGUGUGUGUGUGUGUGUGUGUGUGUGUGUGUGUGUGUGUGUGUGAAGCCAUACCCGCCCCUUCCCCCCUUAUUGAGGUGUCUCAAGGAACCCACUGAACCACCCAGCCAGCCUUACUGUAUGUGUUUCCUGAGCUCAGAAAGUCAUGCCUUUGUAUCAAGCACUUUACCCACUGAACUCCCCCACCCCCACCCCUUUGCCUCUAGCUUUCCUUGGGAGGGUGGAGGACUUGGGAGGAAGAGGCGGGACAUGAAGCCCUCUCCACCAAUGGGAUCUUUUCUGUCAAAAAAAUGCAAGCACCUGCAAAUUUGUUGCAGCCAGCAAUUUACCUUUUCUGCAAGCAAGAGGGAUCUGCUCUUGUUUCUGAGUCACUGGGUUGUGGUGGUGGUGGGGAUCAGGGAAGGAGACAUCUGUGGUUUGGGAAGGAGGUGGGGGAGGCUCAGCAGCAGGCUGGUGAACAAGGCCUUGGAGAGGGUUCAGGGUGAGGUCUCACUCCAUUCAACCAGAGGCAAUGGUUUUUGUUGGCUGGAGCUCGGGGGCUUUAUUAAUAGCCACUUCAACAUCCUUUUUGAUCUAACAAACAUUUCUUAAGUAAAUAAAUGUGGAAACAGCUUGACUUGCCGCAGAAUCCUAAACUGGAAGUUAGGGCUGUGUAUAGAGAGAAAACAAAAAAAAGCACUGGGGAAAUCUUAGGUCAAGGAUAUUGGGGGCGGGACCGGAAACGAACAUGGCGCUGCAUGUAAACGGUUUGCCUUACAAACCUGAGUUCAAUCCUUGGAGGCCCUGUAAUCGUAGAAGGAGAAAAGUGAUCAGCACAGAGUUGUCCUCAGACCUCCACAGGAGGGCGAUGUACACGCGCGCGCGCGUGCGCGCGCGCGCGCGCGCACACACACACACACACACACACACACACACACACACACACAGGGGGGGGGGAAUGAUGAGGCAAAGAUUUGGUAUCAUCUCCAUUGUGUGGGGCUCAGAAAGGUGUCUGCGAGUAACGUCACUAUUUCGUCUUCUAGGGAGGACACCGCCCCCACGGUGUCUGCUUCAUAAAUUAGAGAAUAUAGAACAAGCGACUGGGCUGUGUGGACCCCAAAUACACUGACCUGAAACAAGAGGAAAGUUCAAGCUCCCUCUCACAGGACGGUCCAGAAGGGUGUGGUGCAAGGCUGGAAGGUAGAACUUCAACAGCCUCCACAUCCAGCAUCCAGCCUGGCUGCAAAGGAGCCUGUGGCAGCCACAGGAAGUGAGAGUCAUGGAGAUGGAGAGACAUGCUCUGUACUUGUACCCCCAGCCUGGGGAAUGGUGUCGGCCACUUUUAAGACGGCAUGGAAUGUUUGGACACCAGGGAAGAGGGAGAACUACCCAGAAGGCAGAGCUGACUGUGGGAGUUUGGAGGAAAGCUGUACUGGCCCAAGGGAGACUCAAAACCAUGGAGCUGCAGGCAGGCAUCUACUGUUGCUCCACAAGAAAGGAUAGCGAAAGAUGUAGUUUCCGAACUGAGGAUUAAACUCAAGACCGAGCACGUGCUAGGUCAGGCCACACACCCUUGCUUACUGGGUAGCUACGGUGACCUGCACAAGACCCUUACAAAAUCAAGCCAACAUGAACAACCAACAUUCCAUCAGGCUGCAUGGACUGCACUCAGUCUGUUAACAACAAAAGCAAAAACAAAAACAAAAACAAAAAAAGAAAAAGAAAGAAGAAGAGGCUGUGGGUGUGG